AAGCAGGGGGAAUGGGAGAGGAAGAAGCAGGCUCCCAGCAGAGCAGGGAGCCUGAUGCGGGGCUCGAUCCCAGGACCCUGGUAUCAUGCCCUGAGCCACCCAGGCGUCCCAGGGGUAAGACCUUCUGAACGUGAAAAGCUAGAUGGUGCCGUGAGACUUGCUGGCAUCCUUAUUGACACCUAAACAUCCCGAUGGUCAACCUGAAGGGAAAAUUGUAGUGUCCUUGUUCUAUGUAAAAGAUGUCACAGAUAGGAAAUGUAGGGAUUUUCAGCUGUUACCCUCUAGGAAGCGAGGUACUGAGACAGAGUGCUUUUCCAAGAUCCCUACUCAUAUGUUCUGCUCCUCUUACCCUCCACUUAACUACUUUCUUGAAAAUACCUUUCGUGAUAGCUUAAUCAUUCCCAAAUAUGUCAUUUUGCUAUCAUUGUGUGUAUGUAAUUGUAAACUAGUGCUCAUUUCUUUUAUUUGAUUACAUCAUUACAUUGUAGGCAAAAAUUACAUGAGGCGUGGUUGCUUCGGGAGCAGAAGGCACAAGAAGAAUUCAGAAGAAAGAAGGAAAAGGAAGAGGCAGCUAGAAAACGGCAGGAAGAACAAGAGAGAAAGUUAAAGGAAGAAUGGGAAGAGCAGCAGAGAAAAGAGAGAGAAGAGGAGGAACAGAAGCUACAGGAGAAGAGAGAAAGAGAGGUGAUUCCUGUCACAGGAGGAUAAACGCACUGCGUAUCCUCUUGGUGCACAGAUACGGUGUGGGAUGGGGCUGAAGAAUGAGCUGUAGGCAUACUAGGGUUUGCGCUCCGCGGUCCUGUCUAGGAAGCGUCCUGUGGUUACUAUAGAUACACGCUAGAGUUCUCUUAUCUCUUCUUUGGGUCUGUGCAGUGGCAGAUACCUUAAGUUUUUCCUUCAACUGCCCGUCUUCCCCUUUAUACCAGGCAUUGGCAGAAUUCCCUGUAAAGGCCAGAGAGUAAAAAUUUGGGGCUUUUUGGUGUGUAUGGUCUUUGUUGCAAGCAUCCAACUCUGUUGGUACGGCGUGAAAACAGCCGUAGAUAAUAUGUAAAUAAAUGGUUACGGCUGUGUUCCAAUAAAACUAUUGUUUUAUUUUGAAA